UUCCUGUGGCCUAGAGGAAUUCUGGCUGUCCCAGCUGUGUGGUGGAUCUGGGGAAGGGGAAACUCGCCUCCAGUUUUGUGCUUCUGUUGGCUUCUGUAAACUGUGGAUCAAUGCCAUCUGUAAAUGGGAUAUGCCAGCAAGGUGGACGGACAUCCAUUUGGGAAGGAAGAUGGAAUGCACAUCAGGAAACUGUGGAUUUUUCAAUGCUGAAUGUCUUUAAAGGUAUGACAUAGUUGGCAUGAAGUCAAUGCCUCGCCUGGUGUUUGUCACUCCUGGUGGCGUGUGUUGCUGUGCUUUUGUCUCAUGCAGCUAGUGUGGGCUGCAGGAGAAUCUCACACACAAUGCAAGUCAAGGUUCUUCACAUCUCUUGUUUUCUCUGCUGGCCACGUUUUUCAUGUGGGCUGUGCAACAGACUGUUCCCUGCUGGAGGAAUAACUUCAGGUUAUCCAUAUGGGUGUCCUGCAACCAUGAAGCACAAGGAGAGAUGACUUUCAUCAAGAGAGGUGGCCAAACUAGUCAAGGAGCUGUCUGGACUGAAGAGUUUGCCCGUUUAAAAUGUUUUGGAAUCCAUCCACUUUGGCUUUUCGCUAGAUUUUUCAUGGCAUUGAAAAACACAGUUGGACAUUUAUCCUACUCACUGGAGUCCUCAAUUUUAUUUCCAUCUGGAAUCGCACACCAGUACUUGUGGGGCAGUUAACUUGGCUGAGGAAAGUGUUAUGGAAUUAUCCUUUGAACUUAGUGAGUAUCUACUUAAUAGGUAAGUUCCAGUUGAUCACAGU
rnacentral:lncRNA from 1 species